AACGAACGCUGGCGGCAGGCUUAACACAUGCAAGUCGAACGCCCCGCAAGGGGAGUGGCAGACGGGUGAGUAACGCGUGGGAAUCUACCCAGUUCUACGGAAUAACCCAGGGAAACUUGGACUAAUACCGUAUACGCCCUACGGGGGAAAGAUUUAUCGGAAUUGGAUGAGCCCGCGUUGGAUUAGCUAGUUGGUGGGGUAAUGGCCUACCAAGGCGACGAUCCAUAGCUGGUCUGAGAGGAUGAUCAGCCACACUGGGACUGAGACACGGCCCAGACUCCUACGGGAGGCAGCAGCGGGGAAUAUUGGACAAUGGGGGCAACCCUGAUCCAGCCAUGCCGCGUGAGUGAAGAAGGCCUUCGGGGUUGUAAAACUCUUUCGCCGGAGAAGAUAAUGACGGUAUCCGGAGAAGAAGCCCCGGCUAACUUCGUGCCAGCCGCCGCCGUAAGAC
rnacentral:rRNA from 1 species